GUCCACGCUGUAAACGAUGAGAACUAGGUGUCGUGGGUGUUGACCCCCGCGGUGCCGCAGCUAACGCAUUAAGUUCUCCGCCUGGGAAGUACGGCCGCAAGGCUAAAACUCAAAGGAAUUGACGGGGGCCCGCACAAGCGGUGGAGCAUGUGGUUUAAUUCGACGCAACGCGCAGAACCUUACCCAGACUUGACAUCUAUCAAACCCGGCCCAAAAGCUGGGGUGCCCGCAAGGGAAUGGUAAGACAGGUGCUGCAUGGCUGUCGU
rnacentral:rRNA from 1 species